rnacentral:rRNA from 1 species
GAUGAACGCUAGCGGCAGGCCUAACACAUGCAAGUCGAGGGGCAGCACAGGAAAGUAGUAAUACUUUUGGGUGGCGACCGGCGGACGGGUGCGUAACGCGUAUACAACCUGCCUUCUACUGGGGGAUAAUUCGGAGAAAUCUGGUCUAAUACCCCAUAACAACCGAGGAGGCAUCUCAUUGGUUUAAAAGCUCCGGCGGUAGAAGAUGGGUAUGCGUGACAUUAGAUAGUUGGUGGGGUAACGGCUCACCAAGUCGACGAUGUCUAGGGGGACUGAGAGGUUAACCCCCCACACUGGUACUGAGACACGGACCAGACUCCUACGGGAGGCAGCAGUGAGGAAUAUUGGUCAAUGGACGCAAGUCUGAACCAGCCAUGCCGCGUGCAGGAAGACGGCUCCAUGAGUUGUAAACUGCUUUUGCAAGGGGAUAAUUGCGGGUACGUGUACCCGCUUGAAGGUACCUUGCGAAUAAGGAUCGGCUAACUCCGUGCCAGCCGCCGCCGUAA